CCAGAGUUUGUCCUUGGUGGAUGGUCUGUAAGAUCCCAGCCCUUCUGCAUCUUCACCCUAAGGAGGCUGGGCUUUGACAGGUUACCUUGUCUCAAGGGAGCAGUGGGAGUCUCAAAGCAAGACAUUGACAUGGAAGGUUUGCAGGUGGCAGUGGCCGAGGUUUAGUCUCACACAACACAACAAAUGAGAAAGGAGUCUUUAAAAAGAGAAGAAAUCUUACAGUAAAUCAUUCUUUGUUGAUUUGGUAAAUGUUCUACUUUAAUAUUCUAAGUUUUAACUUUUGUAAUGAAGGGUCUUUAAAAUGUGGCAUACUUGAAAUUCUGUUUUAAGGUGUAGAUUUUAAAAUCUACUUUUAAUUGUAAAGUAAUCUUUUAAUAGAAUGUAGAAGUGUGAGGUUUAAAACUGCUACUCUUUGCUUCUUGCUAUAGGGA
rnacentral:lncRNA from 1 species